AGAGUUUGAUCAUGGCUCAGGAUGAACGCUGGCGGUAUGCCUAACACAUGCAAGUCGAACGGGUAUCUUCGGAUAUUAGUGGCGGACGGGUGAGUAACGCGUGAGAAUCUGCCUUCAGGAUGGGGACAACAGUUGGAAACGACUGCUAAUACCCGAUAUGACGAAAGUUGAAAGAUUUAUCGCCUGGAGAUGAGCUCGCGUCAGAUUAGCUAGAUGGUGUGGUAACGGCGCACCAUGGCGACGAUCUGUAGCUGGUCUGAGAGGAUGAGCAGCCACACUGGGACUGAGACACGGCCCAGACUCCUACGGGAGGCAGCAGUGGGGAAUUUUCCGCAAUGGGCGCAAGCCUGACGGAGCAAUACCGCGUGAGGGAGGAAGGCUCUUGGGUCGUAAACCUCUUUUCUCAGGGAAGAACAAAAUGACGGUACUUGUGAAUCAGCUCCCUUCCCCC
rnacentral:rRNA from 1 species